ACCCAUGCAGUCGAACGCCCCGCCGGGGAGUGGCUCACGGGUGAGUAACGCGUGGGAACAUAUCCUUUCCUGCGGACAGCUCCUGGAAACUGGAAUUAAUACCGAAAACGCCCUACGGGGGAAAGAUUUAUCGGGGAAGGAUUGGCCCGCGUUGGAUUAUUUUUUUGGUGGGGUAAAGGCCUACCAAGGCGACGAUCCAUAGCUGGUCUGAGAGGAUGAUCAGCCACAUUGGGACUGAGACCCGGCCCGAACUCCUACCGGAGGGAGCAUUGGAGAAUAUCGAACCAUGGGCGCAAGGCUGAUCCGGCCAAGCCUGGUGAGUGAUGAAAGCCUUGAGGUUGCAACGCUCUUUCACCGGAGAAGAUCAUGACGGUGUCCAGAUAAUAAACCCCGGCUAACUUCAUGCCGACAGCCCCUGUAAUACAAACGGCGGCAAACUUGUUCCGAAUUACUGCGGUAAAAGCGCACGUACGCGCGAUAUUUAAGAAUUGGUGUGAAAUACACAGAGUCUCAACUCUGGAACUGCCUUUGAUACUGAAAUAUCUUGAGCUAUAGAAGAGGUACUGUGGAAUUCCACAGUGUAGAGGUGAAAUUCGUAGAUAAUCUUGAAGAAUACCAGUGGCGAAGUGCGACUUACUGGUCUAUUACUGACGCUCAAGUGCGAAAGCGUGUCUAGCAACAGGAUUAGAUACUCUGGUACUCCACGCCGUAACGAAGAUGUUAGCUACCCGGCAGAUACUGCUCGGUACGUAGCUAACACAUUAAACGUCCUUCUGCGGAGUAC
rnacentral:rRNA from 1 species